rnacentral:rRNA from 1 species
AUUGAACGCUGGCGGCAGGCUUAACACAUGCAAGUCGAGCGGGGUGAUGGUGCUUGCACUAUCACUUAGCGGCGGACGGGUGAGUAAUGCUUAGGAAUCUGCCUAUUAGUGGGGGACAACAUCUCGAAAGGGAUGCUAAUACCGCAUACGUCCUACGGGAGAAAGCAGGGGAUCACUUGUGACCUUGCGCUAAUAGAUGAGCCUAAGUCGGAUUAGCUAGUUGGUGGGGUAAAGGCCUACCAAGGCGACGAUCUGUAGCGGGUCUGAGAGGAUGAUCCGCCACACUGGGACUGAGACACGGCCCAGACUCCUACGGGAGGCAGCAGUGGGGAAUAUUGGACAAUGGGCGGAAGCCUGAUCCAGCCAUGCCGCGUGUGUGAAGAAGGCCUUAUGGUUGUAAAGCACUUUAAGCGAGGAGGAGGCUACUUUAGUUAAUACCUAGAGAUAGUGGACGUUACUCGCAGAAUAAGCACCGGCUAACUCUGUGCCAGCCGCCGCGGUAAAAC